rnacentral:tRNA from 1 species
AUUAGCUCAGUUGGUUAGAGCAUGGUGCUGAUAACACCAAGGCUGUGGGUCUGAUCCCUUUAU